GCCCGGAUGGUGAAACUGGUAGACACAAGAGACUUAAAAUCUCUCGAUCGAAAGAUCGUGCCGGUUCGAUUCCGGCUCCGGGCACCA
rnacentral:tRNA from 1 species